GAUGAAGAACGUAGCGAAAUGCGAUAAGUAAUGUGAAUUGCAGAAUUCAGUGAAUCAUCGAAUCUUUGAACGCACAUUGCGCCCCCUGGUAUUCCGGGGGGCAUGCCUGUUCGAGCGUCAUUUCACCACUCAAGCCUCGCUUGGUAUUGGGCAACGCGGUCCGCCGCGUGCCUCAAAUCGACCGGCUGGGUCUUCUGUCCCCUAAGCGUUGUGGAAACUAUUCGCUAAAGGGUGUUCGGGAGGCUACGCCGUAAAACAACCCCAUUUCUAAGGUUGACCUCGGAUCAGGUAGGGAUACCCGCUAAACUUAAGCAUAUCAAUAAGCGGAGGA
rnacentral:misc_RNA from 1 species